UACGAAGGGGCUAGCGUUGUUCGGAAUUACUGGGCGUAAAGCGCACGGUAGGCGGACUAUUAAGUCAGGGGUGAAAUCCCGGGGCUCAACCCCGGAACUGCCUUUGAUACUGGUAGUCUCGAGUCCGGAAGAGGUGAGUGGAAUUCCGAGUGUAGGAGGUGAAAUUCGUAGAUAUUCGGAGGAACACCAGUGGCGAAGGCGGCUCACUGGUCCGGUACUGACGCUGAGGUGCGAAAGCGUGGGGAGCAACAGG
rnacentral:rRNA from 1 species